rnacentral:misc_RNA from 1 species
GAAACCUAGUGAGUCUCUCAUCUAGCUAUUAUCUAAUCACGGAAUACCGUGCAUGAUUUUCAUCGCAGGAAGUGCCAAGCUUAUUGGCUUUUUCUUUUCAGUUGAUCGGGAGCUCAGCUUUCCGCUCUCGCUUCAAUUGUAAAUCGGAGAACGGAACCUGCAAAUGCCACCUCGAGCUGGCACCACACAGCCGUGGUGGUCUUUAGGUCAGCUCUUCUUCACCAUCUCUCGUCGCUUCUCUGCUAGGCUGAAUUUCUCCUUCUUAUCUGAAGCCAAGGUGUUGAAUCAUUUGGAUGACGAGUGUGAAGAUUUCUUGCCAUGGUUAGAGAGGAAAGCUGGUGUCCACGUUUCAUCCAAACUUUACAUUGGGAAAUCCUCCUACGGCAGGUUGUUUAGAAACUCCUUUCCCCCCUCCCCCCUUUUGAGUUUAAUUCUGAUUUUCAAAUGAAACCCUAAUAGGAAGUGGUAAGUGAAAUGGAGCUUAAUGUUUACUUGGUUGAAUUGGGACUCAUUAUUUCAUUGGGUCGGAGUUAGAAGUAAAGAGCUUAGAGUGCUAAAUUAUUGCAUUCCUUCCUAUAUCAGUUCUACCAUGCUAUACUUUGAUGUCUGGUGAAGGAAUUGCCUGUGGGUUUUCUAACAGUUUGGGAAGUUUGUGCAAUUACUUUGUGGACCAAUAUGACGUGUAGCUGUUUCUGGAUGUCACUUUACUGUUUAAUGCCAUGCUAUGUUCUGAACUUUUGAUGAUGAACUUCUUUGGACUGCUUCCAAAAAUGGAAGUUUUGCUCCUAUAAUGUGGGUAAUAAUGGAAGGUUUUAAGUAGUUGGUGCAUAGUAUUGACAAUGCUGAUUCAUAAGCGAAUGCCAAAUUUGGACAGAAAUUAAUUGCCUGACUUGCAGUAGGUUGGUAAAAUGAUUUCAUCUUAAAAGGCAUCAAGUUGAGAUGCCUCUCUGUUUAACCAUGUAAAAAAAUGCAAUGAUGCAUGAUAGCUCUUGUUAUAACUUCAUUUUCUUAGGCAUUUUUCUGUUUAUCUAAUUAUAUAUGUUUUUGAUGUAGGUCACUAUUUGCUUCUAAAGACAUACUAACUGGGGACUGCAUAUUGAGAGUUCCAUAUAGUGUUGUAUGUUACACUGGAUGUACUUUGUCUUCAUUAUUGUAAGAGGGUCCUGGCAUAGUUAGUUUUAUCAUAUAGUGAUUGAUUGUUCUCUUCGAUUUUUCAGCAAAUAGCGUCAGAUAAUCUACUUCCAAAAGUGUCAGCUUUACUAGAUGAUCAAGUUGGGAGUGUUAUGAAGGUUGCUAUUGUCCUCUUGGUUGAGCAAAAACUUGGCUGGGUAAACUUUAGUAUGUUGUUUUAGAAUUAUAACAAUUUUUCUUUUUAUUGAAGAAUAAUUUUGCAGUAUUUACACCUUAAGAAGAAUUCAUAUUUACCUUGUUCUUAGUAUUGUUGUUUUUAGUUUUUUGUAAUGAAAUUUGAGCAACUGUGAGGAUUUCAUGAUUUCCUUGUACUAUUAUGCCAAACCAUGCACAAGAAGGGAUCAAGACAAAAAUCAAUGAGAUGUAGAACAACUUGAAUUUCACGCAGUGCUAAACCACAUGCCUCUUUAAGCCCACAAUUGAUUAGCUGCUAUCCAGGAAAUUCCAGUGAGAGUAAGCCACAUCCCAAAAAACGUCUAGACCAAAAAUAGCACAAAGUAGAUGCUGAACUGAUUCACCAGUUUUCUUGCUUAAGUAGAAUCUGUUCAUAGUGAUCUUUCCCCUUUUUCCCUUCAUAGCAGGAAUCUGAGUGGGCGCAUUAUUUAAGUUGUCUUCCUCAGCUUGAAGAAAUGAAUAGCACGAUAUUCUGGAGCAGAAGUGAGUUGGACAUGAUUUGUCAAAGCUUUGUGUAUCAGGAAACAAUCAAUCAAAAAGCUCAAAUUGAAAAAGAUUUCUUGACAAUUAAGCCAGUAUAUAUAUUUUGUUUCUCGUUGGUGAAUCUUAAACUCAUAUGUUUCUGAUGCUGUUAAUGCGCAUGCAAGCUUUUCAUAGUAUAUCCAUUUGCUCUUAAGCAAUUCCCUCAUAUUUUAAGGAGUAUCACAUUUAAGGAUUUCAUGCAUGCAUAUGCUUUAGGUGAGCAACUUCUUUAAGAAGCAUUUGCUACUCACUGACUGUUUCUCUUUUUAAUAUAUAAUUCCCAUUUUGAAUUUGAACACUAAAAGCUCUUUGCUCGGGCCUCGUUUAUGGUUUUUUCUAGACUUUUGGUCUGAUUUUAUUUUUUUCACUUUAUUGUGUCUUGUUGGGAAUAUCAGUGAUAAGAAAAUAAAAAUGGCUAAUCAUUUUAAAGUGUUAAUGAACUGCAUCAUGGUACUAGUCCAUAAAUAAAUUGUUAACAUAUGCAUUGUAGUAAUGAUGAUAUAACCAUACUCUUUCUUGAAGCAACUGAAUCCAUAUUCUUAUGAGUAAGAAAGUUGAAAUUUCACUGAUACUUUAUUUUGCUGUUCGGAUGCUAUGACUGAUUUAAUGGUUUUAUAUCCUAUCAAGCUAUUAUUAGUAUGACACUGUUUUUGUGAAUGACAGUUAAAUCUCGAGCUUGGGGAAGCACAAAGGGAGUAUCUUUGGUAAUGCUUUUAUCAUUGUAUUUGGAUUGAAAACAUUUUUAAUAUCAGGUUCUGGUCCAAUCUCUCUUUAUACCAUAUUGCUUUGAAUUAUUAGAUUAUUCUGUAGAUUCCUUUUGCGGAUUUUCUGAACCAUGAUGGGGUUUCUGAAGCAAUUGUGUUAAAUGAUGAAGACAAACUGGUCUCUGAGGUAUACUCUUUCUUUUUCCUUGUUUAUAUUUCUUACUUUAUAUAAUUGCUGUGUCUUGCCUGUCCUUUAUUGUUUAAUGCACAUUUAUUGUUCCAGAUGAUAUUGUUGAUAACUCUGAGAGAAGUUUUAAUCGCAAAGAAUAUUUAAACUCAUUGUUCUUGUCUCCAUCGAUCUCAAAUCACGAUGUAUUUGUCUGCUUGGAGCUUUCUUUCUCUUCUACUUCUUUUUAGGUAUUGUUUGUAGGUUCCAUCUUUUGUUUAAUUCUUGAGAUCCAUAUCUGCAGGUCAUUGCCGAUCGCAAUUAUGCUGCUCAUGAAGAGGUACUGAUCAGAUAUGGAAAAUUUUCAAAUGCCACCUUGCUUUUGGACUUUGGGUUUACACUUCCAUAUAACAUCCAUGAC